CCUCAUACAGGGGGAUAACAGUUAGAAAUGGCUGCUAAUACCGCAUAAGACCACAGCACCGCAUGGUGCAGGGGUAAAAACUCCGGUGGUAUGAGAUGGACCCGCGUCUGAUUAGCUAGUUGGUGGGGUAACGGCCUACCAAGGCGACGAUCAGUAGCCGACCUGAGAGGGUGACCGGCCACAUUGGGACUGAGACACGGCCCAAACUCCUACGGGAGGCAGCAGUGGGGAAUAUUGCACAAUGGGGGAAACCCUGAUGCAGCGACGCCGCGUGAGCGAAGAAGUAUUUCGGUAUGUAAAGCUCUAUCAGCAGGGAAGAAAAUGACGGUACCUGACUAAGAAGCCCCGGCUAACUACGUGCCAGCAGCCGCGGUAAUACGUAGGGGGCAAGCGUUAUCCGGAUUUACUGGGUGUAAAGGGAGCGUAGACGGCGAGGCAAGUCUGAUGUGAAAACCCGGGGCUCAACCCCGUGACUGCAUUGGAAACUGUUUUGCUUGAGU
rnacentral:rRNA from 1 species